GGACAGACCACCGACCCACCAAGGACAGACCAGGUUUGCAGCUGUGGAACCCCUGCAGUCAGACAGACCAGGGGAGACGGACCGCAGGAACAGGACCAGCCCAGAUGCAGACCUGGUCUCACAGGUGUCAUGUCCAGUCAGGACAUGACAAUAGGGCUUGGGGCCCGCAACGGGUCCAGGUCAUGUAUUCAUUUGGAUUUCAUAUUUUCUGAUAUUGUCAAAGCUCAUGUACAAGGGAAUUUCAUCUACAACUUUCUUGUUCUUUUUCUUUUCAGUGCCUGCGACGCGGACCUGGAUAAAGCGGAAGAAAAUGGAUGGAGGACGAAGAAAUGCGGUCAUCUCUAAAUGAAAGACAACAGCGAUGCAGAUCCUUUGUGAAGGAGGAGGCCUGUCUGAUGGAGCCCUUCAUCCAUGGUCGUUUUCCAUCAGACCCAGUAGAUCCAGAGAUGUGGGUGCAGACGACAUCAGAGGAGACAUCAGAGGAGACAUCAGCGGUGGACACGUGAGGAGGAACAGAGACCCCAGACCCCAGACCAGACCCUUCCACAAAAAGCCAAAAUGAUCCCACUAAACUGAGACUGUAACUACAAUAAACUGUUUGAACUUUAUCUUUUUCUUCUGUUUUUGUAAAAGAACCAAGAUGGAGGUUCAGUUGGUUUUAUAGAACAUGUCAUUUCAUGAGUGGAUUGUACCCACUUAUCUAGUGGUUUGGAGUGGAAGAAGGUGUUGAACCCUUAGGGGUCUGAGCCUAUUUUGACCGUUUUUCAAUACUUCAGAUUUUGCUGUUAUAUAACA